rnacentral:rRNA from 1 species
UACGUAGGGACCAAGCGUUGUUCGGAUUUACUGGGCGUAAAGGGCGCGUAGGCGGCGUGGUAAGUCACUUGUGAAAUCUCUGAGCUUAACUCAGAACGGCCAAGUGAUACUGCUGUGCUAGAGUGCAGAAGGGGCAAUCGGAAUUCUUGGUGUAGCGGUGAAAUGCGUAGAUAUCAAGAGGAACACCUGAGGUGAAGACGGGUUGCUGGGCUGACACUGACGCUGAGGCGCGAAAGCGUGGGGAGCGAACCGG